rnacentral:lncRNA from 1 species
UACUAAAUUCAAUGUGAAGUACCGUGUACAGUGGGCCCAUUUCAUUAAAUCAGUACAUGACUGUUUGUCUAUUAUAUCCUUGACCUACACUAAUUGAUUUUCUGUUUGGGGGUAAAUUGGUGAUUGAAGUCAUCAACCUAUUCUUUUGUGAACACGUGUAUUCCACAUUUUGUUCAAAAUUCUCUGCUACUACACUUCAAUAGUACAAUCCAGAAACUCCUAUUAUCCUGAUCGAUCAUCUUCUUACUUUUCAUUGUUCAUCGGAGGCCUCCUUUUUGUUCCUUUCUUUUGCUCCUCUCUAACACCUUGAAUUCGUUUCACUUUUCUUUCAGAUUUCUGAAUUUGGUUCCAAAUUAUCACUUUUGAUUUUUCAAUUUCUCAAUUAGUGAGAGUUUUUUGCAUUCUUUUCUUUGUUUAGCGCACCCCUGAUUCUUCCAUGCCUCAUUUCUUAGUUUUCGUCUGAAUUUUUCCAUAUUGGUUACUAUUUGUAUCUGGCCUAUCUUGAAUCUAUGAGUUCUGCCUAGGGUUGUUGCCAUUUUUUCAAUUGUUUGCUAGGUAAUUUGGUUUGUAUGUGUUGUUUCCUCUUCUUUUAUAUAAUUUCUUUGUGAAUUUUGUAUAUGAAUGCACAUAAUUGUAACUAAUUUUCAAAUACAUGUUUGGAGAUAGAUACUAGUGCAUGUUCAGUAUUUAAUUUAUUUUAGUUAUACUUUCAGAUACCUCAUCUUUCAUAUAAAACAAGUAGCAAUCGAAAAUUUUCAUCACCAGUUUUUCUGUAUAACUGACGGUAAUUUACUUUGUAGCUACACCUGGUUGGACUUGCAAGAUACAAGUUGUUGAUAGAAGUCGAGAAUGGGAAAGCGGUGAGAAAAAAAUAAAAUUCUAGAAUCUUAUCUUGCAGGAUGAAGAGGUAAUCUCAUUUAUCGUCUAUGCAUGCACCAAAGUGUUUGAUGAUAUGCCUGAGUCAUUUUAUUUUGAUGAUAUGUCAGAGUCAUU